GCAGGGCCCGCGUUCCCCGCUGGCUCCGGCCCCGCUGCCCCGGUCCAGCCCCGCUCCGGCCCCGCUGCCCGGGCCUUUGUCCGGGCCGGCGCCGUCCCCAUGGAAACCCGGCGGGGCCCGGCGGAAAGGGCCGGGCACGGCACAAAGGAGCGGGGCGGGACGGGCACGGCCGGGCCUGGGGCUCCUGCUGCGGGAACAACAGCGGGGAGCACCGGGAACUGCGGGGAACAACCCGGCAAAACACCGGCAAACAACACCGGGGAACAACCCCGCAAAAGAGCGGCAAACAACACCGGGGAACACGGGGUAACAGCCCCGGGAACACCGAGAAGCACCGGGAAACAACCCCGGGAAGCCCUGGGGACACCGAGGAGCCCCGGGGACACCGGGAACCAAGCCCUGGAAGCACCGUGAGCACCGUGAGCCAGUCCCGGGAACGCCGUGAAGCAGCCCCGGGAGCACCGUGAAGCCCCGGGAACACCGAGAAGCAGCCCCGGGAACACCGAGGAACAGCCGGAGCCCCGUGCAGCAGCCCCGGAGCAGCGAGCGGCGGCGCCGGGCCAGCCCUGAGGGUCACCCUCAGCUGUGCUGCCCAUGAGGUGAGGAGGUGUGAGGAUCCCUGUCCUCCCUGCAAGAGGAGAAAUUCUCACUUGGAAAGGAAAAAAAUCAGCCAAACCUGCUGGGGAAGGUGAGGAUAAUUGAGGAAUUAGGACAGAAACAUGGAGUUACACCUGUCCUGUCACUGCUGCAGGAUGUUCUUCCUGGGUUUUUGGCAAUGACCACUUGUGCAAAUGCAGUUAAAAAUCAGUUCCCUGCUAAUUAUCCCACACUCAGAAUCAGAAUCAGGAAGAUUUUGCUUUCUACCCCAGAAUAUUCCAAAUUCCCAACAAAAAGGAUGUUUGGGAUGCCCUACACUGAAGAGGGAGCUGGCAUAGAAUCUCAUAUUUACCCCUCCAGACCUCAGGUAGCAUCAGAUUCCCAGGAAUGAAUCCCCAUCUGGAGGGAAUUUGAGAAUUUGUCUCUGAGAUCCCCAAACGUCACCCUGUGAAGCCAACCAAAAUUCUGGAAUGAUCCCAUGGCCACCCUAGAACUGACAGAAAUGGUGGAAUGUUCCUCUGGUAACCCUAGAGCCAACAAAAAUGGUAAAACACUCUUCUGGAAAUUGUAGAACUGAAAAAAAAAAAAGGUGAAAUUCUCCUCUGGUAUCUCUAGAACCAACCAAAAAAAAAAUUGAAUGCUCCCCUGGCAACUCUAGAACUGGCAAAAAGGGUGGAAUUCUACCACGGCAACCUUGGAAUUUAAAAAAAAAAUAUUAAAUACUCCCAUGGCAACCCUAGAACUGACAGAAAUGGUGGAAUGCUUCCCCUGGAAAUCCUAGAACCAAUAAAAAGGGUGGAAUGCCCCUCUGGCAACUCCAGAACUGGCAAAAAGGGUGGAAUUCUACCAUGGCAACCCUAGAAACAAAUAAAACCAGUGGGAUGAUCCCAUGGCAACCCUAGGACCAACAAAGACAAUGGAAUAAUCCCAUGGCAACCCUAGAACUGACAAAAAGGGUGGAAUUCUCCUCUGGAAAUCCUAGAGCCAACAAAAAUGGUGGAAUGGUCCUGUGGUGACCCCAGAACCCACAGAAAUAGUGAAAUGCUCCUCUGGAACCCAAGAACUGAAAAAAAAAUUGUGGAACUCUCCUCUGGUAUCUCUAGAACCAACAAAAAAAGUGGAAUGGUGUACUGGAAAUCCUAGAACUGACAGAAAGGGUGGAAUGUUCCUCUGGAAAUCCUAGAGCCAACAAAAAUGGUGGAAUGGUCCUGUGGUGACCGUAGAACAUACAGAAAUGGUGGAAUGCUCUUCUGGAAAUCCUAGAACUAACAAAAAUAGUGGAAUUAUCCUCUGGCAACCCUAGAGUUUAAAAAAAAUUAUUAAAUGUUCCUCUGGAAAUCCUAGAACUAACAAAAAUGGUGGAAUUAUCUGGCAACCCUAGAGUUUAAAAAAAAUUAUUAAAUGUUCCUCUGGAAACCCUAGAGCCAACAAAAGUGGUGGAUUGAUCCCGUGGUGACCCUAGAAUUGGCAAAGAUGGUGGAAUGUUCCUCUGGAAAUCCUAAACCCAACAAAACCAAUGGAAUGCUUGUUUGACAACCCUAGAACCAAGAAAAACUUUGGAAUGUUCCCCUGCCGUCCCUAAAACCAACCAAAAAUGGUGGAAUCCUCCCCUGGAAUCUCCGUUCCCAGGAGCUCUGGGUGUUCCUCCUGCCCCAUGGACAAUAAAACCCAGCAGGUUGGACACCUCUGCCUCCCCCCAUUCACCACCCACCCCAAACUGGGGCUGUGACAUGGGGGGACGUUUUGUGCCCCUGAUCCUCCAGGAAUUUUUAACGCUUGUGGCUUCCCAGAGCCACCCCAGAUCCAGCAGGGAUCAGGGUGGAGGAGGUGUUGGCCUCCCCCAGGAGCUCCCAGGGGUUGGGGUUCAGGUUUAUUUAGGUUUAUCCCUAAAUAAAUUAAUCAUUUCUGGA